rnacentral:rRNA from 1 species
ACGAACGCUGGCGGCGUGCUUAACCCAUGCCAGUCGAACGGAAAGGCCUCUUUCGGGGGGUACUCGAGUGGCGAACGGGUGAGUAACACGUGAGUAACCUGCCCUUGACUUUGGGAUAACUUCAGGAAACUGGGGCUAAUACCGGAUAGGAUCUCCUGCUGCAUGGUGGGGGUUGGAAAGUUUCGGCGGUUGGGGAUGGACUCGCGGCUUAUCAGCUUGUUGGUGGGGUAGUGGCUUACCAAGGCUUUGACGGGUAGCCGGCCUGAGAGGGUGACCGGCCACAUUGGGACUGAGAUACGGCCCAGACUCCUACGGGAGGCAGCAGUGGGGAAUAUUGCACAAUGGGUGGAAGCCUGAUGCAGCAACGCCGUGUGCGGGAUGACGGCCUUCGGGUUGUAAACCGCUUUCGCUCAUGACGAAGCUUUGUGUGACGGUAGUGGGUAAAGAAGCACCGGCUAACUACGUG